UACGUAGGGUGCGAGCGUUAAUCGGAAUUACUGGGCGUAAAGCGUGCGUAGGCGGUUCGUUGUGUCUGUGGUGAAAGCCCCGGGCUUAACCUGGGAAUGGCCAUGGAAACUGGCGAGCUGGAGUGUGGCAGAGGAGGGUGGAAUUCCGCGUGUAGCAGUGAAAUGCGCAGAUAUCAGGAAGAACACCCGUGGCUAAGGCGGUUCUCUAGUACGGUACUGACGCUGAGACGCGAAAGCGUGGGGAGCGAACAGG
rnacentral:rRNA from 1 species